AAGCAGGGGAUCGCAAGACCUUGCGCUCUUGGAGCGGCCGAUGCCUGAUUAGCUAGUUGGUGGGGUAAGGGCCUACCAAGGCGACGAUCAGUAGUUGGUCUGAGAGGACGACCAGCCACACUGGGACUGAGACACGGCCCAGACUCCUACGGGAGGCAGCAGUGGGGAAUUUUGGACAAUGGGCGAAAGCCUGAUCCAGCAAUGCCGCGUGAGUGAAGAAGGCCUUCGGGUUGUAAAGCUCUUUCAGUCGAGAAGAAAAGGUCGCGACUAAUAAUCGCGACUCAUGACGGUAUCGACAGAAGAAGCACCGGCUAACUACGUGCCAGCAGCCGCGGUAAUACGUAGGGUGCGAGCGUUAAUCGGAAUUACUGGGCGUAAAGGGUGCGCAGGCGGCUUUGUAAGUCAGAUGUGAAAUCCCCGGGCUUAACCUGGGAAUUGCGUUUGAAACUACAAAGCUAGAGU
rnacentral:rRNA from 1 species